CCUACGGGUGGCAGCAGUGGGGAAUUUUGGACAAUGGGCGAAAGCCUGAUCCAGCAAUGCCGCGUGCAGGAUGAAGGCCUUCGGGUUGUAAACUGCUUUUGUACGGAACGAAAAGCCUUGGGAUAAUACCCCGGGGCCAUGACGGUACCGUAAGAAUAAGCACCGGCUAACUACGUGCCAGCAGCCGCGGUAAUACGUAGGGUGCAAGCGUUAAUCGGAAUUACUGGGCGUAAAGCGUGCGCAGGCGGUUAUGUAAGACAGAUGUGAAAUCCCCGGGCUCAACCUGGGAACUGCAUUUGUGACUGCAUAGCUGGAGUGCGGCAGAGGGGGAUGGAAUUCCGCGUGUAGCAGUGAAAUGCGUAGAUAUGCGGAGGAACACCGAUGGCGAAGGCAAUCCCCUGGGCCUGCACUGACGCUCAUGCACGAAAGCGUGGGGAGCAAACAGGAUUAGAUACCCGAGUAGUC
rnacentral:rRNA from 1 species